rnacentral:rRNA from 1 species
GAGUUUGAUCUUGGCUCAGGACGAACGCUGGCGGCGUGCUUAACACAUGCAAGUCGAACGAUGAUGCCCUUUUGGGGUUGAUUAGUGGCGAACGGGUGAGUAACACGUGAGCAACCUGCCCUUCACUUCGGGAUAACUGUGGGAAACUGCUGCUAAUACCGGAUAUGACCUGUCCUCGCAUGGGGGUGGGUGGAAAGAUUUUUUGGUGGGGGAUGGGCUCGCGGCCUAUCAGCUUGUUGGUGGGGUGAUGGCUUACCAAGGCUUUGACGGGUAGCCGGCCUGAGAGGGUGAUCGGCCACACUGGGACUGAGAUACGGCCCAGACUCCUACGGGAGGCAGCAGUGGGGAAUAUUGCACAAUGGGCGGAAGCCUGAUGCAGCAACGCCGUGUGCGGGAUGAAGGCCUUCGGUUG